GACGAACGCUGGCGGCGUGCUUAACACAUGCAAGUCGUACGGUAAGGCCCUUUCGGGGGUACACGAGUGGCGAACGGGUGAGUAACACGUGAGUAACCUGCCCACAACUUUGGGAUAACGCUAGGAAACUGGUGCUAAUACUGGAUAUGUGCCCCUGCUGCAUGGUGGGGGUUGGAAAGCUCCGGCGGUUGUGGAUGGACUCGCGGCCUAUUAGCUUGUUGGUGGGGUAGUGGCCUACCAAGGCGGCGACGGGUAGCCGGCCUGAGAGGGUGACCGGCCACAUUGGGACUGAGAUACGGCCCAGACUCCUACGGGAGGCAGCAGUGGGGAAUAUUGCACAAUGGGCGCAAGCCUGAUGCAGCAACGCCGCGUGCGGGAUGACGGCCUUCGGGUUGGAAACCGCUUUCAGCAGGGACGAAGCUUUUUGUGACGGUACCUGCAGAAGAAGCACCGGCUAACUACGUG
rnacentral:rRNA from 1 species